GCGGGAUGCGGGGCCCUGGCGAGGAGGCAGGACCGGCUCGGCCAGUGCUGGCGCCCCGGCUCCGGGGUCCGGAACGAAGGCUCCUCCUGCGAGAUCGGGGCCCCUGGCUCGCCCUCUGAUGCGGUGAGCAGGGACCCACGGUUGGCGUAGACCAUGCCAAAGGCCGGCAUUCCCCACGCAAGGUGUUGAGUUUCCGUUUUCUACCGGUUAGUCUUAUUUGCCCCCCCUGCACAAUCCUAGAGGGGUUUCGCUGCUGAGGAAUCACCCUGUGAAAGAUUAAAGGAUAUGGUGAAAAAUGCCAGGAAAUCCUGUGUGGAUAAGACAGGAAGCAAGACUGUUGGGGGCCGUGCAAAUAAUGACUGGUCUGUUUGUUCACACCCUGGGACUGCUCUGGACAUAUUUGUUAGUCUCACAAAUUCUAGCAUUUCAAAAAGUAUAUCUUCCUUUUGCAAUACUGUCGGGAUUCCCGUUUUGGGCAGCAGCUUUUUUUUUGCUGUCAGGAAUCUUUACAGUAUUGUUUGAGAGGAGGCGUUCAAGGUCUUUGAUGACCUGCUCUAUAGUACUGAACAUCUUGAGUGCCUGCAGUGCCGUGAUUGGUCUGCUUUUACUAUGCCUGGAAUUUUUAGCCUACGCUUUAGCUAAAAAAUCUAUUUGGCCACACAGAGCUGGUAAAAUCCUUUCAAACUACUUGUUCCUAUUCACCCUUCUGGAAUUGUGUGUGACGUCGACACUGAUCAACUGGUUGUACAAAGCAAAACAUAGCCGAUGAUGAAACUGUGGUGCAGGGCAGGAGAGGACCCUUUACCUGCACAUUGAAGAACCAUCAUGACGAGUCAAGGAGGAAGGCGUAGUGGCGAAUGAAGAACUGCCCUUUAUUCAAGAAGCUGGUGGGAAAAUACAUUUCAAUCAGAUUCACCUCGGCAUCUCCUUUCGCCCAUUAAUAAAAGCCUAAAUUG